UAGAAUAAUUGGAGUCAGUAUUGCUCAGG
rnacentral:piRNA from 1 species